AAUGUUGUUGUUGUUAUUAUUUAUUGUUGUUUUUGAGUUGUUCAUGUUGUUAUUGUUGUUCUUAUUUAGUUUUUGUUAUUGAGAUUGAGAUGUUUAGUUGUUAUACUAAGUAAAGUUUUGAAAGCUAUAUGUUAUUUGGUUAUAGUUAUUAUUUAGUUUGAUAUUGAUAUUGAGGUCGAGAUUAUGUCUUUGUGAUUCUUUGUGCCUCUCUCAUCUUGUUCUAUAGAACAUGUUAAGUGAACGUUAGAGUGACAAAAAAUACAGUUGAG
rnacentral:lncRNA from 1 species